UACGUAGGGGGCAAGCGUUGUCCGGAUUUAUUGGGCGUAAAGAGCGUGUAGGCGGCUAGGUAGGUCCGUUGUGAAAACUCGAGGCUCAACCUCGAGACGCCGAUGGAAACCAUCUGGCUAGAGUCCGGAAGAGGAGAGUGGAAUUCCUGGUGUAGCGGUGAAAUGCGUAGAUAUCAGGAAGAACACCCGUGGCUAAGGCGGCUCUCUAGUACGGUACUGACGCUGAGACGCGAAAGCGUGGGGAGCGAACAGG
rnacentral:rRNA from 1 species